rnacentral:lncRNA from 1 species
CAUCUUGUUUUUUUCUUUUUAAGGAAGAAAGGAAGGAGGGACGGAAGGAGGGAAGGAUGGAAGGAAGGAAGGAAGGAAGGAAGGAAGGAAAGGAGGGAGGGAGGGAGGGAGGCAGGGAGGGAGGGAGGGAGGGAGGGAGGGAGGGAGGGAGAAACUCCAGAUGGGCCAGGGGAUACUAAGUAGCACAUUCCCAGUUUCUUGUUGCUGUGCCCAGAUGAACUCUAAACUGAAGUUAGCCGGAACAAUCCUUUGAUCUUCUGGUCACACAAGAGCAACAAACCAGUCCCCGACAAGGAAGAGUUCUCCGUCUUCAGACCUUGUGAGGUGCACUGUACACACCACAAACCGUAAGAUGAUUGGUUCCCGACGGUAAAGGCACAGGGCAAAGCUCCGGGGAGAACAGAGGAUGGGGGUGUUUAUUUUUCUCUGGAGCUCUGGGCGGGCUUCCUGGGGGAGGUGACAAUGUGAGAGGGUGACGAGGGUGGAGACAGAGACGGGAAUGUUCUGCAUUUCUCUACAGAAAGCAGGGUGGUGGGAGGAUUCUGAGCGGAGGGUGGUCCCGUGUUCCCCGCAGCAGCGGGAGAUUAGACGGCCCCAGAGGGAGAGAUGAAAGGUCAGGAGACCAGGAAGAGGCUCCUGGCUUUGCCCUCAGCUGUGCCCCAGCCGUGGGUACCUCCAGGUGGGUGAAGUGCCAUAAACAUCCCGCCAUCAGUGACCUGGGGCCUGGCCCUGUGACUCACUCUGGCCAAUGACCUCCGUGGAGGAGCCGCUGCUGUGCCAGUUCCCAGCUGAGGCCUGAAGAACCAAAGCAGGUGCCUGCCAGUCUCCUUCCACAUCUGCCCUCUACGGUGACAAUGUGUCUGGGGCAGCGGCUGGCCCAGGGAGAAUGAGGGGGCACUUGGGGGAGUCUCGAGCCCCAUUGGGAACCCAGAAGCAGGCCCAGUAGAGCCCCCUGAGCCACAGCUACCAACACACCCUCCCUGCCAGAAAAGCAAAUGUGUGUGGCAUAAGCCGCUGCAGUGUGUGUGUGUGUUGGCAGGGGGGAGUCUAUUACGUGGCACCUGCAGCAGUGGCUAGCCAGCAUGUCCCCACCCCUCCAGCUUUGCUCCUCGUACCCCCAGCCAUGGUGCUGUGGAGUAGGGACUCAGUAAUCUUUGUUGAAUAGAUAAACGGAUAAGUGACCUCUCUUUUACUUGGAAAACUGUCCUCGGCCUUCAGAGCUUUGCAAGACAGUAGUUCCUCAGCCCCCUGGACAGCUCCAGCGAUGAAGGAAGAGCAAAAGCUCACCCUUAUUCACCCACUCGGCCAGUAGAGAGCGUGGCCCGCGCCAGACUCAUCCAGAACCCCUCUUCUGAAGUUGGACAGUCUUGGUGUUUAAGUUCUGAGUACAAAGUUUGCCAUUGUAUCCGCUGUACUGCAGGGCCUUGUUCCUGCCUGGAUUAAUUCCAUCUUAGUUACCAGGCACCUCCUGGGACCCAAACAUGUUCUAGCCCCCGGGGUU